AGAGUUUGAUCCUGGCUCAGGAUGAACGCUGGCGGCAUGCCUAAUACAUGCAAGUCGAACGGUGAAGAAAGAGCUUGCUCUUUUGGAUCAGUGGCGAACGGGUGAGUAACACGUAGGUAACCUGCCCAUGUGCCCGGGACAACAGAUGGAAACGUCUGCUAAAACCGGAUAGGUAUGAGAAUCGCAUGAUACUCAUAUUAAAGCGGCUACGGCCGUGAACAUGGAUGGACCUGCGGUGCAUUAGCUAGUUGGAGUGGUAACGGCACACCAAGGCGACGAUGCAUAGCCGACCUGAGAGGGCGACCGGCCACAUUGGGACUGAGACACGGCCCAAACUCCUACGGGAGGCAGCAGUAGGGAAUUUUCGUCAAUGGGGGAAACCCUGAACGAGCAAUGCCGCGUGAGUGAAGACGGUCUUCGGAUUGUAAAGCUCUGUUGUGAGAGAAAAAGGAUAGAUAUAGGGAAUGAUAUGUAUUUGAUGGUAUCUCACCAGAAAGUCACGGCUAACUACGUGCCAGCAGCCGCGGUAAUACGUAGGUGGCGAGCGUUAUCCGGAAUGAUUGGGCGUAAAGGGUGCGUAGGCGGUACAUUAAGUCUGUUGUGAAAGGCUACAGCUCAACUGUAGUAUGCAGCGGAAACUGGUGAACUCGAGUACAGAAGAGGGCGAUGGAACUCCAUGUGUAGCGGUAAAAUGCGUAGAUAUAUGGAAGAACACCGGUGGCGAAGGCGGUCGCCUGGUCUGAGACUGACGCUAAAGCACGAAAGCGUGGGGAGCAAAUAGGAUUAGAUACCCUAGUAGUCCACGCCGUAAACGAUGAGAACUAAGUGUUGGGGGAAUAACUCAGUGCUGCAGUUAACGCAAUAAGUUCUCCGCCUGGGGAGUAUGCACGCAAGUGUGAAACUCAAAGGAAUUGACGGGGGCCCGCACAAGCGGUGGAGUAUGUGGUUUAAUUCGAAGCAACGCGAAGAACCUUACCAGGCCUUGACAUCCCGAGCGAAGCUAUGGAGACAUAGUGGAGGUUAUCUCGGUGACAGGUGGUGCAUGGUUGUCGUCAGCUCGUGUCGUGAGAUGUUGGGUUAAGUCCCGCAACGAGCGCAACCCUUGUGAUAUGUUACCAAUAUUCAGUUAGGGACUCAUAUCAGACUGCCGGUGACAAACCGGAGGAAGGUGGGGAUGACGUCAAAUCAUCAUGCCCCUUAUGGCCUGGGCUACACACGUACUACAAUGGCGGAUACAAAGGGCAGCGAGACUGUGAAGUUCAGCGAAUCCCAUAAAGUUCGUCUCAGUUCGGAUUGAAGUCUGCAACCCGACUUCAUGAAGUUGGAAUCGCUAGUAAUCGCGAAUCAGCAUGUCGCGGUGAAUACGUUCCCGGGCCUUGUACACACCGCCCGUCAAACCAUGGGAGUUAGUAAUGCCCGAAGCCGGCGACCGAACCUGCAAAGGAAGGAACCGUCGAAGGCAGGAUUGAUGACUGGGGUUAAGUCGUAACAAGGUAUCCCUACGGGAACGUGGGGAUG
rnacentral:rRNA from 1 species